CACCCUAGUCAAUAUGUGAAAUGUAUAGAUAUACUCAUCUUUAAGUUUCUAGAGAAAAUCAAAACACAGUGGACCCUUUUAGGCUGCUUCAUCGUCGGCCUUUUACAUGAAUUGGAACAAAAAAAACUAGAUGCAUUCUUUGGCCACCAGUUGUCCCAGGAAAUAAAACAUCAGUUCUAUCAGUGCUUGGAAACCAUAAGAGGCAAUGGAGAGCUUCAAGAACAGAUAGAUGGCAUGAAGUUGUUUUACUGUCUGUUUGAGAUGGAGGAUGAAGCCUUCUUAGUACAAGCAAUGAACUG
rnacentral:lncRNA from 1 species